rnacentral:rRNA from 1 species
AGAACGAACGCUGGCGGCGUGGAUUAGGCAUGCAAGUCGAACGCGAAAGAGGGGGGGUAACUCCCCUCUAGUAGAGUGGCGAACGGGUGAGUAACGCGUGAAGAACCUGCCUUCAACAGGGGGAUAACACUCCCAACGGGGUGCUAAUACCGCAUGAGACCACGGGAUCGCAUGGUCCUGAGGUCAAAGGUGGCCUCUAUUUAUAAGCUACCGGUUGAAGAUGGCUUCGCGUCCCAUUAGCUAGUUGGCGGUGUAAAGACCACCAAGGCGACGAUGGGUAGCUGGUCUGAGAGGAUGGUCAGCCACACUGGGACUGAGAUACGGCCCAGACUCCUACGGGAGG